rnacentral:rRNA from 1 species
UACGUAGGGGGCAAGCGUUGUCCGGAUUUAUUGGGCGUAAAGCGCUCGCAGGUGGCCCGUUGCGUCGUGCGUGAAAGACCCCGGCUCAACUGGGGAGUGUCGUGCGAUACGGGCGGACUGGAGGCCGGUAGGGGGAUGCGGAAUUCCGGGUGUAGUGGUGGAAUGCGUAGAUAUGCGGAGGAACACCGAUGGCGAAGGCAAUCCCCUGGGCCUGCACUGACGCUCAUGCACGAAAGCGUGGGGAGCAAACAGG